CUCGUUUAUUAAGCCUCUUCCCUUCGCACGAGCGUAAUGAUUGGACAUUUUUGUUGCUCGAUGCUACAAUGUUUUCGUUUUGUCAUUCACAGUAACGGUAAAUCAUAUAAUCAAAUGAUGAACAUAUACCUUCCACAGUUGCCAUUUUACAAAUACAGAUUUAUUAACUCGUCCCCAAUGGGGCUUUUCAGAGAUAAUUAACAAAUAAAAUUAAUUCUAAGUUCUAAAGCAAGAAAAAUUUAACUGACCUAUUUUCCAUCAAUAACUAAUUACUGAGAAAUUCAUGCAAGAGUUGUUUCUUAACCCUACGUUUAAAUCCUGAAAUAGAAGUACAAAGUUUUAGAUCAUUGUUCGAAAAGAAGUUCAGAAGGAUUGUUCAGAAGUACAAAGUUUUAGAUCAUUCUGAGGUCAGUAUGAACGCCUGAGCGGGCGUCUCAUUUAACCGAGUUUGAAUAAAGUUAUCACAAUCAAUCGAAAUCGAAACAUGGUAAACUUCAAAGCAUCUAUAUAAUGAGCUACGAUUUUAUGUCGAGAUGGUUUCGCCGGGCAAAAAUCUUUUGAAAGUUUUCCUUAUUAAUAUCUCAACGGCACGGUUGAGUAAUUCGACAAGAUGCUUCCAUCGAGUGGUUGCUUCAUUAUGCCAAAAAUACAGAAUUGUUUUUGCCGUCCUCAAGUUUACAUAAACGUGGACAAAGAGAUAGAACUAAAAUUUUGUUUCCAGAGCAAAUGUUGACUGACUAAGGUUAAACUAGCUACGGCUGUGCUUCGGCUAAUAUAAGCCUCCAUCUCAAGGAGACCCCGCUCCAGCAUCGUCUCUCUUUGAUGUUCUCUCUAAAUAGGGCGUUUCUGAAGACAGUUGCCGGAAAAGGCCCUUUUCAGCUAGCUUAUCAACAUGACUUUACAAGUGCAAGUGACGAAAUGAUAAAGAAUCUGUCACAUUAGUUGUUGUUUGAUGUCAUAUAUUGGACGGU